UAUACGCGAGUGGGGUUAAUUAUUUUUUUAAUUUUUGUUAGUUUUCAAUAUGUAAAUUUUAGCUUUAGAGUGAUUUUUCUCACGAACUCUUCAUGUUUUUUCUAGUUUUCAUUUUCUUUUCUCGUAAAGUUUUACAAAAAUGUUUUUCUCCAUCAAAUCCGCUUAUACAGCGGUCGAUCGAACCUUUCAAUCUACUCGAACUUCUGAAACUAUUAUAAUUAACUACCCUAACUUCUCGAACGACUCCGACUACGCAAAUUAUGGGUACCACUAGAACUACCUCGAUAUCACGUCAGUAGAAGAAUAUAACGAAGAAAUCAUCUAAAUAAACAGGAAACAUCUAUCGUCGUCAACUACAAAUUGGAUUUUGUGCCGCGAUACUUCGCGAAAAUUGAAAGGUUGUGUGAAUUAUUAUUUUGGGGCCCCUACAUAAAAUGGUUGAAAAAGGUGAGACUGAUAUGACUUUGACCAUGGUAUGACCAUUGAUGCUUUUUACAUUGUGCUGGAUUCACUUCUUGUGGCCAUUGUAAGCCAUGACAAUGGCAGCAGCAGCAGACAGAGUGAUUCAAAAGAAACGCCAGCGCCUUCUAUUAUUUUGUCACAGGCAAAUAACGUCGACCUGGCCUGGGAUUAUUUAAUGAGCUGGAAGGGAUCAGUGCGAUGUCAAGUCAGGGAGCCAGCACAGACCGAUGCAAGAAAAUAACGCCGGCUCGUCCCUGGCCUUAAUCCAACUACGUAUACUGUCCUACGCAUUCACUAUCACAACUACAAUGCCCUACAACUGCUACCAGUCUCCCUCAAAAGUGGUCCUUUUCUUCUCCUUCUUAUUCUUCCUUCUAUUUUUCUCAUCAUUCUUGUCCUCCUCUUCUUAUUUGCUCUCAGUUUCUCUUCUUCUUCUCAUUUUCUUCCCUCCGCCACGCCUCAUUUUAUCACCCUCCACCUCUUCACCAUCCUCCACUGCUUCUAUUUCAUCCCAAUCUUAGUUAUCUUCAACCCUCCUUCUAUCUCUCCAUCUUCUAUCUUUCCUUCUUGUUCUCCCAUACGUCCUUUCACAUUUUUUUCUCAAUAAUUGAUCUUUCUCUCCUUGCUCUAUCAAACUUCUUAUUACUAAUUUUCUUCUUCUUCGUACCCUAUGGAAAUUGGAAGGUAACAUAAACACGAUUUUGAAACUCAUAGCCUACUCCAUAGCCGUUGACGAUGUAGAGAUGACAGUAAUAUAGAAAUUAUUUAUAAUAUGAAAAUACUGUUUGUCUUCCAAGCUCUGCAUAUUUUUCAUGGGACAAUUGAUCCAUCACAUCCAAUAUUUUUCAAAUCUCCUCGUCACUGAAAAAUUAAAAUUUACAUUUCGUUAUUUUUUACAAGUCUCUCACAACUAGAUUUUUAUCACUUCAUUUUCACAUUUCGCAAAUAUUGUGUUGUGGAAUGACAAGAUCUCUAUUCUAUCUCUCUUGAAUGGAAAUUUCUAAUAAAAUUCUAGCGUGUAUUGUAAUUGGCUUCUGGGCCCUUUUGAUUGUUGUAUGUGGUAGUGACGAGCAUUCGAACGCAUUUCAUUGCGAGAUGAGAGAGAGCAAUCAAUGUUCACUACUCUAGUUUCUCAAAUGAUUGAACAAUCAAAUAACAAUGGAUGAGAUGAAAAGAACAAUCGGGUCGUUUGCAGCGAUUCUUGUAAUUGAAUUUUUCAAAAACAAUAAAAACAGUUUGAAGGAAAAUGUUCACGACUUGCUGGAUACCCGAUGGAAAUAUUGUUCGUGGUUUUCAAACAAGAGGCCCGUCGGUAUAUAACGUAUCCCUCAUAAUCCUUUUGAUCUAAGCAUUCGUUCUGCGGUUAUUGCCUAGAAACAAUGCCUUCUGCAUACCAAGCCUGCCAACCCCACAGGAACGCGUUUUAUGGGAUUGCUUUUUGUCUGCCUCAAAAGUAUACAAAAGCUGCCAUCAAGAGCUCGUCUAUAAAUUACCCCAGCUUCAUUCUGUACAAAUAUUGGUGUGUUUCCUGAUGGUCCUCUAGUUUUCUUGAAAUCAAAGCAAUUUUGUUCCAAUUCUGAUAGUUGUGAGAUAAUAAUUAAAAAUAGUUUCAGAGAAUCGUAAUACUACACUUCAUAAUUAAAUUGUAUUCAGAACGCUGAAACGCACAUGCAUAAAAGAAGUGCUUUACAUUCUUGAAUUCAAUUGAACGUAUUAUUAUCCACAAGAUAGAAUGUGUGUACUAGACUAAAACAGAUCUACUUGAUAGAUUACUAGCAACUUAUGCCUCAGAAUAACUUAUUAAUUUUUCACUCAGUCAAAGUUUGAACUGAAUCAGAUCAGCCUAAGGUUUGAAACAUGUUGAAUGUCUCAAUAAAUACGAUCUAAACUUGAAUCAAUAAACACGUACACCAAUUAUUCAUAUCAGUAUUGAACUUCGCAUACGAUCCUAUUAAGAUGUUGCAUGGCAUUGUUCUGGUCAGUAGGCUAUAAACAGAUUGAUCCUACAUAAAAAAUGUUGACUAGACGUUAUCAUGAUCCAUCCCUUUUUUGCUCCGGAAUAUGUAGGCUUUUGUUGACUUGAGAGGAUCACAACAGGAGAAGCACAUUCACCCUCGCCUACAUAAACCCAGAAUUUUCUGUGAUCUUUGAGGGCGAUAGGGGAGGUCAGGUUCUUCUGUAUGUGAUUUAUAUUAUAAUAAAUUAAGCUUGAUUUGCAAGCUGAAGAACCUGAAAGAUAACUUAUAAUAUAACAGUUCCAAGCAAGGAAUUGGAAUUUAGUACGACUGAUUUUAAACAAUAAUUGGAAUAUUUUAAUAAAUGAACACUUGA